rnacentral:rRNA from 1 species
UGCAAGUCGAGCGAGACAGAAGGGAGCUUGCUCCCGGAUGUUAGCGGCGGACGGGUGAGUAACACGUGGGUAACCUGCCUGUAAGACUGGGAUAACUCCGGGAAACCGGAGCUAAUACCGGAUAGUUCCUUGAACCGCAUGGUUCAAGGAUGAAAGACGGUUUCGGCUGUCACUUACAGAUGGACCCGCGGCGCAUUAGCUAGUUGGUGGGGUAAUGGCUCACCAAGGCGACGAUGCGUAGCCGACCUGAGAGGGUGAUCGGCCACACUGGGACUGAGACACGGCCCAGACUCCUACGGGAGGCAGCAGUAGGGAAUCUUCCGCAAUGGACGAAAGUCUGACGGAGCAACGCCGCGUGAGUGAUGAAGGUUUUCGGAUCGUAAAGCUCUGUUGUUAGGGAAGAACAAGUGCGAGAGUAACUGCUCGCACCUUGACGGUACCUAACCAGAAAGCCACGGCUAACUACGUGCCAGCAGCCGCGGUAAUACGUAGGUGGCAAGCGUUGUCCGGAAUUAUUGGGCGUAAAGGGCUCGCAGGCGGUUUCUUAAGUCUGAUGUGAAAGCCCCCGGCUCAACCGGGGAGGGUCAUUGGAAACUGGGAAACUUGAGUGCAGAAGAGGAGAGUGGAAUUCCACGUGUAGCGGUGAAAUGCGUAGAGAUGUGGAGGAACACCAGUGGCGAAGGCGACUCUCUGGUCUGUAACUGACGCUGAGGAGCGAAAGCGUGGGGAGCGAACAGGAUUAGAUACCCUGGUAGUCCACGCCGUAAACGAUGAGUGCUAAGUG